UAGCAGAAUUAGAGAUUGCUGAGGUCAAGGUCAUACAGAUGACAUCAUAAAAUAAGUUCUUUUGAUCUGUUCGGAGCCGACACAUUUGACAAACUGACAGAACAAACAGAAGAUACAAAGAAUGAAAGUUUUAAUACUUUGUUUAGUUACUCUCGUUGUGGUGUCAGCCGGUGUUGUUGACAUUAAAAGACAGGACUGCGUUGAACACUGCACUCCAAGUACUAAUGAAGGAUGUCACCCCUACCAGAUAUGUAUCGCCAAUCACGCCGUUGGGUGUGGUACUUCAUGCCAUUACAUACUGCCAGGGAAACGGGCCAUCUGUUUAGGCGCCAUGUGCAAUGUGUAUUGCCCCUAUGGACACAAGCUCUCAGCAGACGGAUGUCCAAUGUGUGCUUGUAAUCCUGGUCCAGUUGUUUGAUCGCCCACUUUACAAUUACACUGUAAAUACAAAACAUUUGACAAGUGACAAACCUGAA